rnacentral:lncRNA from 12 species
UUCUGCUUCACCCAUGUCAAAUGUUCGAGUGAAGUCCAGUCCUUCUCUCGUGGGAAACCUGUAUACAAGGAAGUCUGGAUUGGAAGAAACUCCAGAGGUGUCUGGGACCGCAUUUGGUCCAGUGUGGAGUGCAGUGGUAAGGAAGGGAUCAGGAGCUCUCUUGGCUGCCUUGCUCUGCCCUUCCUGAGCAGGGAAAGCAGAGUGUGAGGCACAGGAGGUUUUGGGCUCCGUGCUGCCCAGGGAAAUGGCAGGUGACAAGUCCAGCCUGCAGGUCAUCACUGGGGUGUUGCUGAUAAGGGUCUCCCUGAGGGCAAGAGCAUGUGCACAAAGGAGAAAAGCACAGGAGAGGAGUUUGUGGUUGACUUUGUGGCCAGCACAUGGCAUCACUGUUUGAGCAGGAUCAGAGGGCUUUGCUGCCUCUGUCCUCUCAGACAGCGCAGCUGUGAGUACCGCAGCUUGCUCCAUGUGGGCUGGGCCCCUCCAGGUUCUGUGGCGUGGUGGGUGCAGGCUUAACACCCUCUUGUCACAGUUUAGGGCAUUCAUGUUCCCACCAAGGGAGAGCAGAGCUGUAUCUGUACAGAUUUAGGGAAACACAGAAACCUCAGUUUUGAAUCAAUGGGGAAAAUUGCUUGAACAGUAGUAGUCCACUCAUUCACCCACAUUCUUUGUUGCCCAACUCCUCCUGCUCCCCUUUGAGAGAGCUGCAGUGAGCACCUUCAGUCUCACUUUCCCUCCCACCAGGCUGGGUGAUGAGCAAAGUUGUCUGCCUGCAGCAUCCUUGCAUGGCUGAAAUGGGGAGGGAAUGAAGUCACCUUCUGGCAAUCUUCCCUUCACAGAAGUCCUCCAGGUUGACCCUGAGACUUUUGAGAUUUCCAGCACCAGCAUCAAACUGAAGUGGACCUGCAGGUUCCCAGAUGCCUGCCAGGGCAUGAGGGCCAUGUGCCGGCUGGCAGUGCCUUCCUCCCCUCCCUGUGAGGCUGAGGAGGUGAAAGGAGAGCAGAUGUUACAUGGCCAGGAGGGAACAUUCACCUGCUCCCCUUUGCAGCCCUUCACUGAGUACCGUGUCUCCAUCGAUUUGCCCCCCAACACAACCCUUUUCUCAUGGUUGUUCACGACAGAGCAAACAGUGCCGGACAAACCGGAGCAGCUGUGGCUGGAUCCCGACAGGGGCUCUCUCAGGUGGAACUCGCUGUCCUCCUGCAAAGGGGAGAUCAUCGGAUACCAGGUACCAAGGGGCCAGGGCAGACCCUCUGCCCGUGCCUGGAGCUCUGUGCAGGCACACUGGGAAGGGUGGAAAGGGACAGCUGGGAUGACCUGCAGGAGAAAGGAGAAGCUCAGGGAUCCUCGGGCUCAGUACCUAUAUGAACAAUCCUUCACACAAACAGCCUCCUCCCCCCCCCCCCCCCCCCCCCCCCCCCCCCCCCCCCCCCCC